rnacentral:rRNA from 1 species
AUUGAACGCUGGCGGCAGGCCUAAUACAUGCAAGUCGAACGGGUGGCGGACGGGCGGAUAAUUGCUUGGAAACUGCCUGAUGGAGGGGGAUAACGACUGGAACCCGUAGCUAAUACCGCAUACCAUCAGAUGUGACAAGGUUGGAGUAGCUUGUUGGUGGGGUAACGGCUCACCAGGGCCACGAUCCCUAGCUGGUCUGCGAGGAUGACCAGCCACACUGGAACUGAGACACGGCCCAGACUCCUACGGGAGGCAGCAGUGGGGAAUAUUGCACAAUGGGCGCAAGCCUGAUGCAGCCAUGCCGCGUGAAUGAAGAAGGCCUUCGGGUUGUAAAGUACUUUCAGCGGGGAGGCGUUACCCGCAGAGAAAGCACCGGCUAACUCCGUGCCAGCAGCCGCGGUAAUAC